GACGAACGCUGGCGGCGUGCCUAAUACAUGCAAGUCGAACGCAGUGGGGACGGGUGAGUAACACGUGGGUAACCUCCCAUCAGAGGGGAUAACACUUGGAAACAGGUGCUAAACCGAUAUUUAUGGAUGGACACGCGGGGCAUUAGCUAGUUGGUGAGGUAACGGCUCACCAAGGCCACGAUGCAUAGGCGACCUGCGAGGGUGAUCGGCCACACUGGGACUGAGUCACGGCCCAGACUCCUACGGGAGGCAGCAGUAGGGAAUCUUCGGCAAUGGACGAAAGUCUGACCGAGCAACGCCGCGUGAGUGAAGAAGGUUGUCGGAUCGUAAAACUCUGUUGUUAGAGAAGCGGUAACUAAAGAGAAAGCCACGGCUAAAUACGUGCCAGCAGCCGCGGUAAUUG
rnacentral:rRNA from 1 species